rnacentral:rRNA from 1 species
GAUGAACGCUGGCGGCGUGCCUAAUACAUGCAAGUCGAGCGAAAAGACGAGGAGCUUGCUCCUCUGACGUUAGCGGCGGACGGGUGAGUAACACGUGGAUAACCUAGCUAUAAGACUGGGAUAACAUCGGGAACCCGGAGCUAAUACCGGCUAAUAAAUUGAACCGCAUGGUUCAAUAGUGAAAGCCGGUUUUGCUGUCAAUUAUAGAUGGGUCCGCGCCGCAUUAGCUAGUUGGUAAGGUAACGGCUUACCAAGGCGACGAUGCGUAGCCGACCUGAGAGGGUGAUCAGCCACACUGGAACUGAGACACGGUCCAGACUCCUACGGGAGGCAGCAGUAGGGAAUCUUCCGCAAUGGGCGAAAGCCUGACGGAGCAACGCCGCGUGAGUGAUGAAGGUCUUCGGAUCGUAAAACUCUGUUAUUAGGGAAGAACAAAUGUGUAAGUAACUAUGCACGUCUUGACGGUACCGUAUCAGAAAGCCACGGCUAACUACGUG